CCCAACACAAGGGAGAAGGCCUUCAGUCUGUGUAAUCUGCUGUUACUCUGAAGUUCAGUCUAAUCAAAACUGAAGCAUCACUCCUGAUGAAGAUCUCCAGAAGAACAAGACACUCCAACAGUGGUGCUGAGGAGCACAUUGGACCUGUGGAUUAUGGAGGAACAAAAAGAGACAAAUGGUUUUUGGAGGACUCAAAAACAAGUGAUGAAGCUCAUAUAGAAGACUAAACGCCUGGAGAAAAAGGACAGUGAUGAUGAGACGGACUACAGGAACGAUGUGUGACAUCUGGCCUCAUGGUAACAACCAAGCAGAUUAUUGUGGACUUCAACUAAAAUGGGCAAAACAACCAUAAAACUCUCUGUCUGCACUGAGGUAGUAGAGAGGGUGACCGUGACUGAGGACCUGUCCUGAAGCAUUCACACUGCCUGAGCUGUGGAGAGGCCCAACCACGCCUUUACUACUUGAAGAAACUGAGGAGCGCCAACAUCUCCAGUCCACUAAUGAGGAACUUCUACAACUGUGCCAUCUGAAGUGUUCUGACAUCUGGAGUUUUUGUGUGGUUCUCCUGCUGCACUAAGGCUGACCUACACACUCCAGCGGGUGGUAAAAACAGCGGGGAAAGUCACUGGGGUGACUCUCCCACAGAUCAGUAGCAUCUAUGUGUUCCAGUCAGAGCCAUCGUGUCCUGAAAGGCGCGUCGCUGAUGGAGCUGUCCUUGGUGUCGUCCACAACCACCACCAGAGGGAGCCCUGAUCGUAACGUUAGAACACAAGG